ensembl:lncRNA
UCCUCUCCUCUCCUCUCCUCUCCUCCCCUCUCCUCUCUCCCUUUCUUCUCCUACUCUUACGCCCUGCUCUGUCCUUCCAUUUCUGUUUCUCUCUCCCCCACUCUCCCUCUCCCCUACCUGGAGUAAACUUUGUUUAAUGUACCCUCCAUGGUUCAUGUUCCAUAGAUCACGUCUUUAAUUUAAGCAGAAAUCUAACAGCAGCAAUUUCAUAGGACAAACAAAAACAUUAUUAAAAAUCACCCACCCCUUUCUUCCGUAAGAGUGGAACGGGUCUGUAUUUACGGAUUUGCUUUCGUCAUUGCUUGCUUAAUUAUAUUGCAUGCUUGAAGAAGAUAUGCGCAUCGGUCGUGUCUUUUUUUGUUUCUUCACCAUUGGACCAGAGGUAUAAAAACUCCUGUUCGACUCAGGAGAGGUCUAAGUGCAGACGGGGUAGGGGCUGAAGAGAUGGCAAUGAGAAGGAGCGUGACUGGACCACAGAAAGAGGCAUGGAAAAACACACCCACGUUGUGGACCUGUCUCUACUUCCUUUUCUUCUCUUAGCCAGCCUUCCGUACUUCCCAGCAUACUUAGGAGGUGACAGAAGCCAUCACCCAACUCCUUAGUUACCACCUCACUUAAAGGACCGACUUAGGGAAAGACUCGCUGGGUCCCAGCUUCUAGGUGAUCAUUUCAAAUGGCUUUAGUGUUUCAUGCAGGCUCCAAUAAUCAAUCCUACUUGAGGGGGUAAGGCUGUACGACAACAACAUAGACCUCAGGAUCCCUUUCAGGCAGGUGGUACACCCUAGGGGUUGUAGUAAACUUGGCAUAGAUUUACAAAGAUGGUAGCCACACUCUAUUAAAAAAAAAUCGCUUUCAAAAGUCUAGAUUAAGCUUAGAAUGGAGGUAGGGAGCCAGGUGAAUGAGAGCAAAAUCCGAUGGGCCCAGGGAGGGAGGGAGGGCAAGGGCCCUGUGCCAUCAGGGAGCGAGUGGACUGCAAGCUUGUCUCCCUCCAUCAGAAUUUUAGGCUCUUAGUCCCAAGGGCCUAGAAAGGACAGCUAGUCCCAGGACUGUUUUCCUGGCUGCGUUUGGGCCUCUUGUGCCAAUGGAGGGAGAGAAGGAGAUGGCCUGGUGCCCAGGCUGUAGAGAGGAGCUGGCUGGCUCUGGAGUGAACUGGCAUUAUCCAGAUCUCUUGAGUCACAUGAAUCCUUUGACAAGAGAGAGAGAGAGAGAGAGAGAGAGAGAGAGAGAGAGAGAGAUUUCAGGGGUAGAGUCUGCUGGAGAAUAAAUAUCCUAGAGAGUGAGUUGCCUACCAUGUGAGCUCAGAGAUGCUGGGGUCUGGUCCUGCCAUGGUUAAGAUAAUCAACAAGUUAUUGGCGCUCUUGGGGUCCUGGGUUAUAACAGUGAAUAAACAGCUUCUCCCUUAAGGAACAUAGAGGAGUUAAAGCAAUUAUAAAAGAUGAGGCAUUGGGGGUCACGGGGCAUGUAGAUGGGGUGCAAAAUCUUACGUAUCUGAGACAUCUUCAUAGAUGUUUCAUUAGUUAAUUAUUGAUUUUUCAAGACAGGGUUUCUCUGUGUACCUUUGGAGCCUGUCCUGGAACUCAUUCUGUAGACCAUGGCUUUGAACUCACAGAGAUUCCCCUGCCUCUGCCUCCCAAGUGCUGGGACUAAAGACAUACACCACCAUCGCCCAACUGGAUGUUUAUUUGUUUUUAAAAAUUAUUGAUUUUAUUUAUUUUUCGUGUGUAUAGGGGGGCAUGUGCCUGUACACUAGGGUGGACUGCACACAAUUUAUGUGAGUCGGUUCUCUCUCUCUACCCUGUGGGUCCCAAGAUCGAACUCAGGUUAUAAGGCUCAGCAGCAGAGACCUUUACCCACAGCCAUCUUGCCAGCCUAGUGAAAUCAGGCCCAAAUGAGGAAGCUUAAGUAGGGGACUGGGGGUCACAAUGGGGAGAAGUGUGGAGAAUGGUCUUACAGUGUUUAUAAAAGUUUUCAGAAGAAAAGAACUCAUCGUUGUCCACAAAUACAAACCAUCCCAAGCUUUGGAAUCCCUUUUUUGUUUUAUUUUGUUUUGAUUUUUAAGCCCCGUACCCAUUUCCUUAGAGGCUAGACUAGUUUUCACUCCCAGCAUCAUUGUGUGAGGCUUCCGUUUAUCUACAGCUGAGCCAGCCUCCCCGCCCCCAUCUUUUGUUCAGUCCGGUUUCUGUGGUCAAGGCUGUGCAGUCCACUCUCAAACGCUCGCACGCUUCCUCUCCCGGCUUCCCUAUGACCUGACUCAGGGACUUUUUUCCACACUGAAUCAUCAUGGCUGCCCACAUCUGUUGGGUAACCUCCAUUUGUUGUGUCUGGUCCGGUACUAAGAUUUUCCACACUUUAUCUCAGUCAGUCCUUAUUCUUCCCAGGCAGUCUGUGUGCCCAUAUUUGCCUGGAGGGAAUGGCCCUUCUGUUCAUCGCUCAGCUCCAUCGUCUUUCCUGUUUCUUUGUAGCAUUCCCUCGUCACUUUCUAUUACACCUGUCUGUGUUAUUUCUUUUUAGCGUUUGUGAUGCAAACAAUCCUGCUUGUUUCUUAAUUGUUGGUUUUGCUCUGGGGAAGUUUAUACUGGGCAAGUUUUAGAGCUCAUGCAUUGAGGAAGCUGGUGUUCAAAACCACUACACAUCUUAAAAUGGAUGCCCUUGUCUCCAAGACUCUUUCUCAUGGUGGUGUGAUCUUCCACUUGUCUGAUCUCACCAGGCUGAAGUGGGCUGGGUUCCCUUCUGCUGUGGCAUGUCACUUAACUGGUGCUUGUCCUUGUAUUUUGCUUUUGGCAUAGGGCAUGAGGUCCCUUCUCUGCUCUGUGUUAUAUAGCUCCUGACAUGGAGCUAGCUGUCAAAGGGGAGAUGCUACAAAACUGACAGUCACAUUUCUGUCUCUCAAACUGUUGCAGGAAUACUUUGUUUCUUACCACUUUGGGUUGUCCUUCUUAGACACCACUAUGGCACCAAUGACACACAGGAGCGUGGAUCACUUUGGCUUGCCCUCCUCAGGCAUCACUAUGGCACCAGUGACACACAGGACCGUGGAGAUUUGACCCCAAGGAGAAAGAUGCUGGAGGGAUUUUGUGGUCUGCUUCUCCUGGUCACUUUUUAAAGGGAAAUAUAAAGAUAAAAAGUCUUAUUCUACAGAAAUUCUCCAAAAAUGAAUUUUCAACAGAAUCAGGUGUAGAACUGGGUAAAAGUCCAACUUCUGCCCCAAUUCUGGGAAGAACGUGUCUAGUUCUGGCCCUUCUCAGAUUGUGUAUUUAUGGCAUAUAAAUAAAGAAGGAGCUGACAGACAGCAUCUGGGAAGACAGAAAGAAUCUCAGCCUCCAAAAACAAGUCUGAGGUAUGAUGUAUAAAACCCACCAGAAUGUUCUCCGUGUCUCUGACAUUUCAUGGCUAAUCCCAGCACUGCAGCAUUCAACAGUGCGACUUCAUUGAAUUAAGAGCAAUAUUUCUGCGUGAGUGUGAAUGCAUGCUUGGGGCACUGUGUCUCUUUGUCGGUCAGAAGAUAGUUUUUAGGAGCUGGUUCUUUCCUUCCACCACGGAGUUUUGAGGAUCGAACUUAGGUCCCCAGGCUUGGCAGCAGACGCCUUUAUCUCCUGAGGUCUUGCCAGUCCUCAUCACCAUACCCUAAAAACAUUGCCAAGCAAAGCCCAGCAUUGCUGACAGUCUCAGUGGGCACAGUUUGUCCUUCGUCUUACAAAUCCUUAACUUCACUGUCUUUUGCAAAGUCAGUCAGGAUGAUUUAAACGAGUCAUUAUUGAAAUAGAUUUCUAUAUUUAAGACUGUCUCUCACAUUUGAAACAUGAAAUCCUUUAAUAAGAGCAGAUUAAAAAUCCCAAGGAAAUCUGAUUCUGAAAUAGAGGCUCCUACAUUUCUUUCUUUCUUUCUUUCUUUCUUUCUUUCUUUCUUUCUUUCUUUCUUUCUUUUUCUCUUUAAAUGUGUAGCCCAGGAUGACCUGGAACUCAUGAUCCUCCUGCUGCUGUCUUCUUCAGCAAAUCCUAUCCUGAUUGUGCCACCACAACCUGCUUAUCUUUCUUUCCUGAUGGGGGAUGUCUUUCUGUAUAUAUGUUUCUCUUAUUGGUUGAUGAAUAAAAAAACACCGUUUGGCCAAUAGAGACAGGAAGACAGGCAGGACUAGGAGACGAGGAGAAUUCUGGGAAAGACAGGCAGAGAGCGACACCUCGAAGAGAUGCUAUGUAGCCAAGGUAGGUGUAACAGGUCUGGACCUGCCUCCGAUAAGAUAAAACCACGUGGAAAUACAUAGAUUAAUAGCAAUGGGUCAAUAAUUAAGACAGAGCUAGCCAAUAAGAAGCCCUAGCCAUAGGGCUUUAUAUAACAGUUUUUAUAAAUAAUAUAAGUCUUUGUGUGCUUCUUGGGGGCAAGGUGGCUGUGGGACCAGGCGGGACAAGAAAACUCCAGCAACACUUUCCUGCUAAGAGAAAUUUUUCUAAAGUAUAAUCUCAGAAGCCUGUUGUAUGCAGGGGCUGCAGUAAUGAAACUGCUGACAUGCUCUCCAUAAUAUGGUUAAUGUUUUUAUUGUAGGAGAGAGGGAGAGAGAGAGAGAGAGAGAGAGAGAGAGAGAGAGAGAGAGAGAGAGAGAGAGAGAAACAGCCAGAGGCAUCUGGAAGAGUCCAGAGCAGAGAGAGCAAGAAGUGGACUGAACACAGAAGACUGGACAUGACCAGGGCUAGGGAGUGGGAAAGAGGAGUGGCGAUAAUAAGAGAAAACAUAGUGACAGGAUAGGAAGGGAAAUGAGAGUCAGGGUAAGACAAAAUAGUGAGCUAGGUUAUAAGAAGGAUGAGUAGCGGGGCUGGAGAAAUAACUCAGAGGUUAAGAGCACUGGCUGCUCUUCCAGAGGUCCUGAGUUCAAUUCCCAGCAACCACAUGGUAGCUCACAACCAUCUGUAAUGAGAUCUGGUGCCCUCUUCUGAACUGCAGGCAUACAUGCAGACAGAAUGCUGUAUACAUAAUAAAUAAAUAAAUUAAAAAAAAAAAAAGGAUGAGUAUCUGUGGGUGGGAGAUACUCCCACCUGUGAGCUGCGGGGAGUUUAGGGUAGGGGAGGAGGCAAUAAGGGAUGCUAGCAUGGACUUUGACAUGUACAACAGGUACUCCUGAUCCUAAGGGGCCUGGAGGCAGCAUGGGCUUUGAUAGACACGGGGAGCCAUGUGUCCCUUCUGCCAGAGUUAAGGGAAAUGACUCCUCUUGGCAGAUGGGACUUUGUGUUUCACAAGUUCCUGAGGAAUGCUGGCUUUCAUCCAACUGCCAGAAAUCUUGCAGUCCAGUUUAAGUUCAUUUUUGAAUAUUUGGACCGGCUGUGAGACCUAACACCGAUCUGACCAGUAAACAGAGCAGGUAAUAUCACAGGCCUGGCAGACAAGGAAAUGCUAAAGACUAUUGGAACAAUGGACCCCAAAGAAACUGGAAUUUUCAUGAAUCUCAUGCUGGGGGAAAGGAAAAGGCCCCAGCCAGAGGGGGAACUUGUCUCCAGGAAAAGAAGCCACACAGCUCCAACUACGAGUCAGACACUCACAGGAUGAAUCUGAAGCCCAGAUAAGGUUGGGUCAAUGUCGAGAUUUUUACAGCCCAGAUGUGGCUUUGAAUUCUGUUGUGAAGACGAAGUGAAAUGAUGCAUGUUACAUACUGAAAACAAAACGAUGCGUGUACGAUGCUAAAAACAAGAGGCUUCCUGCCCUAAGUCAAGAACAGAAUGCCAACCAGGCUGAACUUCGUCAUCACCAGGGCCUUCAAGUUUCCAUUGCCUCUCAAGAGUUCAGUUCCAACACAGCAACACCGUAACCACCACCAACCAGGGCCAGACAACAUUUAUGGCUUUACUCAAAGCCACUAUAGUCAUUUUUAAAUUGAUUUUUCAUAAAGCAAAUCACAUUCUUAAAAUACUUGUGAACUUCACCUUUGGUCUCUGAGAACUUUGUUUUUCAUUUACACAGGGAUGUAUUUUAUUUUGAUAAAAUCCGUUCCUUACUUCUCUGUUCCAACUCUUGUCCCUCUCCUCAUAUCUUACUCAAUGUCAUUUGUCUGUCUGUCUAUCUAUCUAUCUAUCUAU